GUUCCUUCAAGAGCAAGUGAAAGCUAGUGAAGAGGAAACAAACAGUACAGUUUAAAUCCCAUUAUAGAGGUAUUGAGAGGAUGCGUUGGGAGCAGGCAAGAAGAAUUACCAUGGGAAAAUCUGAGAAACAUUUUUAAGGGGAUGAAGAAUAGGAAAUUAUCGUAAGACACACUGGGAGAGAUACUGCUCAUGUCAAUUGGAAGAGCAACAUAAAAACAUGAAGAUGGCAACAAGGAUUCAAGCUUUGGGGUAUGAAAACAGUGUUCAAAUAAAGCUGCUAGAGGUGCUUUCAAACACUGCCAAAAACGAAGAUGACAUGAUGAUAAUCUAAUAGACUUGGAGCCAGCAUCUGACAACCAUCACCUCGAAUUGGAACUCAAGUCUGAAUUACAUGUGUUCCAUAAUCAAUUCCAUAUAUAUUUCUACUUCACACGGACCUUAAUUUGCCUAAUGGAAACAACCGGCGGUCACACCAAGCAGUGAGCAGGAAUGACAGUGUUGAAUGCUUCUCCUCAUGACUAGAGAGAGAAUUACUUUCAUUCUGUCAGAGGGGCAUGGAGCCUUAUUUUACUUCACCCCACACCCAAUCCACAUAUAUACUAUUUUCUCUAUAUUCAACACAGAUCCAGAAUCUUACUAUCCCUUACUACCUCCUCGGCUGCCUAUUUGGUCAAGUGACCAUCAUAUCUAGCCUGGAGUCUUGCUGUGGUUUUCUAACUGGUGUCUCUGCUCCACGUUUACCCUUCAACAGCAGUCUAUUAACACAGCAGCCAAAGUGACACUUUUUAAGUGUCACUGUGGUACUAUUCUACUCUCUGCUGGAAACCCUGCCAUGCCUCCCCAUUUAGCUCAGAGUGAUGGCCAAAGUCUUUCUCAUGAGCCCUAAAUCCCCAUUCCAUGAGCCUAUAAUUCGCCUUCUACUCUCUCCUUUCUUACUUGCUACAGCCACAGAAGACUUCUUGAUAUUCCCCAAAUAUUGUAAACAUCUUCUCAUCUGAGGGUCUUUCCUCCAGCUGGCCCUUCUACCUGGAACACUCCUUCCUCACAUAUUCUCUUGGAAAAAAUUUCCUCACAUUUUUUCUAGAAUGCAAAUUCAAAUCUCAUCUCCUCAGUGAGGUCUACUGUGACUGUCCUAUUUAAUGCUGCUACCUGAACAUAACCCUACAUUACUACUCUCCUCCAUAUUUUGCACAACUGUUUUUCUUUUCACAAUACUUAGUGUCUAUAUACUCUCUCUAUAUAAUUUACAGUAUUAACCAGCUUAGUCUAUCAUGCUAUGGUACCAAAUGACCUCAAUCAAUCACUUACAAAAACAUUUUAUUUCCAUGGACUUGACUUCAGUGUCGUCUUCAUUCUGAAUAUUCCAGGCUGAAUUGCCUUUCUCCUGAUAGAAAAGAGCAGAAACUUCUUCUUGGAAGUAGCAUCUGUUACUUCCACUGACAUUUCAUUAACUAAAACAAAUAAUAUGACCAAGCUAGAGGUAAGAAAUGUAGAAAGUGUAAUCCUCCCAUAGAAAAGGACUUAAUACUCAUUAAUGUUUAUUAUUUAUUAUUUGUUCCCCCAAGUAGUACAUUAGGGACAGGAUUCUUCAUAUAUUUUUCUCCUGAUAAAUAUUAAAUACCUAAAGUUUUGCAUACAGUAGCU
rnacentral:lncRNA from 1 species